rnacentral:ncRNA from 1 species
CGGUGCAGGGGAGGCAUCGAUCUCCGGGCCGCAGGAACCGCGGUCGCCGAACCGGAUGUCCUCCGGUUGGGCCCGGAGGGAGCCAGUGGCGAGACCGGCCCCACGUCA